UUCAAGCUAUUUUCUUUAUCCAGUAUGAUCAACAAUUUUUGAGCCAACCAAUAAAUCUAUCAAUAAUCAUCUAUGAUGUACCUAUUAAGUGCUGGAAAUAUAUAUUAAAAUGAGAUUAAAGUGAGGAAUUAAAAAUUGAGGGAAUUAGUCAAAAACUACAGAAAGAGGAAAUAAUUGAACUAAGUCAUGGAGUUAGGGUUUUUAAGAGGCAGAGAUGAGAAAAGAAAAUAUUUCAGGAAUGGAAGGAUAGACUGUACAAAGGAUUGCUUUCUACCUUGGGGGUCCACCUGAUCUACCUAAUUCUCACUCGUGGCUCCAAGAAAAUGUAGCAUGCAAAGCGGUCACACUCUGGAAAACUGUUUCAGCAGACAGACAGAAGGGCCACAUCUCAGCAACACAAUUGGUCCUGGUGUUCCUAAUUACCUGAGAUUUCAUCUCUCUACCUGGACACAGACCUGAACUCCCUAUUGUCAGAGAGAUGAAAGUUCCUGUGGUUUGAGCUGAAGCUAUGGCUCAGGGAUCCCACCAGCUGUUUCUGAAGAGUUAGCCUGGAGGUAUUUGUACUUCUCAAUGGUUAAUCCCUAGACUGCAGGAUCUUUGGGGUUCCAGGAAAACCUCUGUUCUGCCCCAAGUCUUCUUUGUUUUUCACCGGUAUAUGUUUAUCUUGAGGCACAGUUUUGUUUUUUUUUUCUAUUUGUGAAGGAAAUCUGGAAAGCUUGAAAUUUGCUCACCUACUCUGCCAACUCCUCCUGUAUUAAUACCUUUUUAGGAAAAAUUAGCCUAACUUGCAUGAUGGGAGGGGUUAUGAUAUUGUUCCUACAAAAGGAGAGGAUUUACUCUGGCUCAGAAUUAAUUGGUUAGUGCCACAACUAGCAUUGAAUCAAUCAAAUUCUUCCUAAUUCCAUAUUCAAGCUUUCCUUCACUCCAUUGUGUUGCCUUAUCCCUGAACUCUUUUCUAUUUUUCUAGGAAGAGAGACACUGAGCUUUUAUCCUCCAUAUGCGUAAAAAUUUC